ensembl:lncRNA
AGGUGAUGUUUGUGUAAUGCACAUGAGAAGUGUAACAUUGCAUUCCUUACCUUUCAGAUUUAUUACCUGCUUUCCCUUUGUUAAAGAAUAAACAAACAAAAGUGGAAUACCGAGUAAUAUUCUUUGUACACCGGGUUACCCCUUCCGUGGGGAGAAAACGGAACAAUGCCUACCAGGGAAAACGCCGCACCGCACUAAGAUCUACACGCUGAGGACAACACUUGUCAACCGGCUUUUUGGUACUGGCAUAAAUUAAGUGAGCGACCCUGAUGCUCACCCUGAUCCGUCAGCCCACAUGCACCAUGAACUCUCCCUUUAAUUACUGAAAAAACUCACAAAAUGAGCAACAACCGUUUUACCCUCAAGGCAAACUAACAAAGGCAAAACUAAAUCUACACUCAACUAUUGUGCAAACCGAAUGGACGAGCCCCCAUUUGUCAUGACCCGGCUCAAUGGCGAUGACAAAAACGGGAGAGACGGUGCAUUUACCAAUAGAAAACAAAGGUUUAUUUCCCUACACCACAUAACUUAACAAAACCGCCAACUUAAACCCCAAAAGGUGUGGACGCCUGCAAGGAGGGCCAAUGAGUAGCGCCCACAACAAGCAAUCAGCUGCUCUUAUAUUCGGCUGGAGCACCGGCCCCAGGUGCUCCAGAUCCAGCUGAUGGCAUCAGCUGAUCACCUUGAGGAAGGUAAGUAGUCAACAAGUAGGCGGGGUCGUCACAGUUAGUCUACAGUGAAAGUGCAGACCGCAAUUUUUGCUUUUUUGUUGCCUUUUUGGAAAACAAAAUCAACUGAGUGAGGAAGGAUUUAAAGACUGGAAUAACCUUGCAAUGCAUCUAAUCAACCAUGAAAGGUCUGAAGAGCACAGGAAAAAUACUGAUAGCUGGAAACGGCCAUCAGUAGGUUUCGAGUAGUGGUUUCCCGAAGGUCACUGCAGAUAGCUGCUGUGAGCUACUGGAAACCCUCAGGUAAAUGAUGGCAUAAGGUUUAACAGUCAGUGUAAUGUGUCAACAUAACUACUCUUAUUGUUUUAUAUGUUAUUCUCAAUUUGUAAAUAGAUAAUUAACAGUUGCAUGAAAGAAGGAUAGUGACUUUUGUUCAUCCCUUGUAUGGAGUAUCUCAUUAUGCGAUAUAAGGUACAUUAGACCGAUAGAUGCAGGGGCCCACAAAUGACUGUUCGCCUGGAGCCCACAAAGGGCUAAGUUCGCCACUGUGCAUCAGGCUAAACGGAUUAGUGUUAUUUAGCCUGUCGAAAGGCCGAUGGGCCACAGGUUAAGCCAAACUGUAUUUUGUGUUUAUGUCUGGUCUGUGACCAACUUAUAAUAUUAAUUUCAUUCUAUGUUUAAACACUGGUAAUUUUGGCCCCCUGUGUGUCUGAGUAAAUCGCCACCGGUAGAGCUCAAGGGACCUAUGAGAUCAAAAAAUAUGAAUGUGCUCAGAAGUCACUUUGUUAAAUUACGCAUUUUGAUAGCUCCUUUUAUACAAUUGCAUAUCUUUUCAGCAGGUGAAGUAAAAGUUCAAAUCAGUGUCAGCCUUAAAUAAGCACUGCUUACGUAGCCUUUUUUAAUGUUGUAGGGGGAUAGAGGUGGAAGUGGUACUCUGGAGGGAGGCCAACCUCACACAGUUAGAGGUUGGCCUCCCUAUGAGCGCGAUGCAUAUGCGGGCCAGGAGGAGCAGCUAGGGUCUCUCCUCCAGUCAACGAGACACGCUCGUUUGUCCAGGUCGUAGGGUUCAGGACCCUCCCAGACGGGGAGAAGGAGGUCUAUUUUAUGUAUCAAAGAAAGAUAUUGGGAUUAUUAAAAGGCAUGAAGCACUGAACCAUGCACAAAAAGGUUAAAAUCAAGCAGUUACCAAACGUAUUAACUAUAUAUACUUUACAUCAGGGCUUCAACAUCAAAUCAAUUGUUAAAUUGGUGUUGGCAAUGAAUUUCAUUAUCCAUCCAUUAAAUGAUUUGGUGAGAUGUUUUUCACAAUGGUCACUCAUAGCCAGAGCACUUAAAAUGUACACCAGCAGCAGGUGAGGUGGGUGGGGUGGGGCGCCACUUUAGACGCCACACCGUCUCACUGAUGGGCUGAUGCAUGCUCCUAGAAAUGCAAUUCCUGAAGGUAUUGAUUGGUAUUGUUACUUUGGAGAAUUUGAAUAUUUAUUACGCUCAGUAAUAACGAUUGAUUCAGCAAUGUGGGAUGUGUCCUACUCCCACCUCCCAACAUCCUGCACAACUGGAGUUGUCUGGCUUUUUUAAAAUCCAACAAAUAUCUCCAUAGUCUUUUUCUCUAAAUAACUCAUGUCUUGGGCUACUUUCAGGUUUGUUUCACGCUGUUCAUCUGUUGUUUCAGCACACCACACUUGACCAUUGGCUGUAUUUUCAGAAAAUGUCUUUCAACAAGAGGACCAAUGAGAGGCUAGACUCAAUCAAUCGGAGUGAUGCUCACAAGACAUCAGACAGUCGCCUACAUCACUGCCCCUGUACAAGUCCCCGCCCACCUGGAGGCAGAGGCCCGGGACUUGGUAUGUCCCGGGUCAAUGCUAAUCAGUCUGUCGUAGCUUGGUAUCUCCCGGGAGGCCAACCUCACACAGUUGGCCUCCCUAUAAGCGCUAUGCAUAUGCGGGCCACAAGGACUGUUCAUCUGUUCUGUUUCAGCACACCACACUUAGCCAAUGGUUGUAUAACGCGUCACUACGUAGCGUUCAUAGCUAUGUUGACAAGCAAACCACACACAAAACCGCCCACAUUCCUAUGCGGAGAACAGCCCGAUCUGGCAACACAGACCUUGUCAUCAUCUCUGUAGCCGGCUGAGUCAAACACGCUAUGAUAUUUGCUUCGUUCAUCACCAGCCAAAUUGGCUGGCGACUUUACAAUCUUACACGCAAAAGUUAUUUUCUACCUGCAUCUGGUGGGUUGGCAGGUGUUAAUUUUAAGCUCUUGCUAUGAGUGACCAUUGUGACUGCGUGGUUCAGUGUGUUGGUAACUGUGCUUUGUGUGUUGGUAACUGCUUCGUGUCUUUUAAUACUCCCAAUAUCUUUCUUUUAUACAGAAGAUGCUGCUGCUACUGCUGCUGCCUCAGCACUACACUUCCAGACGGUCUGUCCAAAGGCUGCAUCCCACAUGGCCGGUGGAACUACGUGCUCUUUAGCACAGGGGUCCAGGACCUCCUUGUCCCUGUCUGGGAGGGUCCUGAACCCCACGGCCUGGACCCCCUUGGGGGAGGGGGGAAUUAAUUUGGCCUUUUCAAAUUGAAAUAAUAAAUGGAAAGGCAUGGCUUGGACAAUCUCUCCAAAGGCUAAUGCCUCCUUUGCUGUCAUUUAAUAACUGGAGGAGAGACCCUAGCUGCUCCUUCUGGCCCGCAUAUGCAUGGCGCUUAUAGGGAGGCCAACCUCUAGCUGUGAGGUUGGCCUCCCGGGAGAUGCCAAGGCCCGGGUCUCUGCCUCCAGGGCGUACACAAACAAGCGUGUCUUGUUGACUGGAGGAGAGUCCAUAGCUGCUACUUUGGCCCGCAUAUGCAUGGCGCUUAUAGGGAGGCCAACCUCUAGCUGUGAGGUUGGCCUCCCGGGAGAUACCAAGGCCCGGGUCUCUGCCUCCAGGUGGGGGCGGGGACUUGUACAGGGUCAGUGAUGCAUGUUUCUGUUGUAUGUUGUUUCAUGUUUUGUUGGUUUUAAUAAAUCCAGUUUUCUGACUAAACUGAAGUGUUUAUUGAUGUGUUGAUAUGAAUCGUAAAUGGUAUAUCCUCUGGAUUCAUUGCAUGUUUGUGGCUAUAAUAUCAACCCUGUAAUGCAAAGACAGGCUUCAAACAUGCUUUCAGGAAAACCUGGGCUGUCAUGAGUAUUUGUGCUGCGGUGAUAUCGUUUGAAAGUAAAAACUUAUGAUGGGACAACAAAGUCAAACGGAAAUUGAAUCUCACAAUUAUAUAUUGUUACCAAAACAAAGUUGGUGCUUUUUGGCUUAAACUCAAAGUACAAAUCUACCCAUACUAUAUACAGUAUAACUACACAAAACAGCGUAUACAAUGUACAGUAUAUUAUACUUUCAUACAAGUGAUCAAACCAAGGAUCCGCUCUCUACAAUGUCCCAUGUGGAGCAAAGGUUAUCUUAUGAAAAGGUAAGAAAGCCCUUCAGUGUCUACUACUUGACGGUACACUUGACAGUGUAGUACGGUCUACAGCUAUGCUUAGAACGCUUCAGAACAUCGCCGAAACUCCACCGGAUGUUUUGGAGAUGACGCAUCUCCCCUCAGAUGGUGGUGUCGGGUCAGCCAUCUCUUCGUUCGUUACCACACUCCGGUUGCAUUGUGGGAUAGCGUUGUGAACUCCGUUGUUUACUGUGGCGGUAGUACGCAUUCGGAAACGUUUUCCGUACUACACAAUGCGUACGGAGCAUUCGGACGCACUAUAUUUGUGGCGUACUACAAAAUGCAUACUAUAUAGCAGUCAAGUAUGAGUAUUCGGAUUCAGCCAAACAAAUAAAAUGUGCCUUCCCGUGCGUGUUUGAGAAACAGUGAGAGUUAACACUGUCCUAAAUUUUACAUAACGCAUUCUUCAUUUAGUCUGCCGGCUAAUGGUAGUAGUAGUAGUGGUAGGAGGAGCAGUAUAAAUGUUGAAUAGCUUUAUUCAAGUGAGGGAUUUGAACAGAGUUCCAAAUGUUAAAAUCGGAUUGCGUGUGUGUGUGUGUGUGUGUGUGUGUGUGUGUGUGUGUGUGCCCAAGCCGGCGUGCGUGUGUGUGUGUGCCCAAGUGUGUGUGUGUGUGUGUG